AGUGACCUUCUCGACUUGUCGGCUCCGUCGGCGGCUCGGCUCGGCUCCUAGGUUUUCAACCCUUCCUGAGCCAUUCCCACCCUUGUUCCGGCCAUCUGGGAGUAGUUAGGCGUUGGAGUUAGCAUAUCGCGAGUGACUUCGGUCAAGGUCAGGGAGGUCUAAGGCUCCCAUGUACGGUUGACGGCGGAUGCAACGAAGACCAUGGAAAUCAUAGGGAGGGCUUGUAGAGCAAUAGAUUCUGUUUGAGAUCGUUCGAAAAAUAAUUGUUGCAUUCGUUUAUCCUAAUUAGUUGUUGAUUGAUUUCCAUGUUAGGUUGAUCCUUAGUGCUAUGAACUAUUGAUAAUAAUGAACGUGUCAUUGAUC